AGUUCUCUCUAUUUUAAAAAUAGACUAAAAAUGACAUAUGGUGGUGUUAACCCCAGAUAUUGUCUUUCAUUUUCAGACACUUGUUCCAACCGUUUGGCCAUCAAAUUGGAUUUUGCAAAAUAACAUUCAAAUCGUUAUAUUCAGCCGCCAUUUUGAUUCCGAUUUUCGAAAACGUUUUUUUGUUUUUAACCUACUCCAAAUGGAAACAAUUCUUAGGGAGCCAAUUUUUUAAUUUCAAUUUUGUUUUCUUCUGGUAUCGCUUUUGAAUUUUUUCCGACUUUUGACCUUCUAUCUUGUGACCUAGUCGUUCAAUGACCCUUGACCAUUGCAUAUAUGAUAACCCUGAUGUCUACUAACAUCUAAUACAGAGUGGUUCAAUGGUCAAUUAUUUGUCCUUAUAUAAACAUGCACAGUUAUCUGCCUGACUGCACCGUCCGUGAGAUUUUCUGAAGUGAUCAAAAUGUAGUCUUGCCCACGUGAAUUUCGAUGUCGCAGCAAAUAUACGUCAUAAAUAGCAUCCACGUGGUAUUAUACAAACAUGUAUUGGUAUAUAAAGCCAAGUAAAAAUACACUCAUUACGCGCUUCGACUUUCGUGUUUAUUUAAUAGCGAACGUGAGCACAAAUUUCUAUUGUAAUCUUUGAUUUAAUUUUUGAUUUGGGUGAUUUCGGUACAGAGCUAGCUGUAAUAGCUUUGUUUCAUUUCUAACUUUUUAAUCCUGAGCGUGGCAAGAUAAACUCAUUACAACAUUUUGGGAUUUACUUUUAUUUAGUGAUUACAACCUUCGUUUACGUGGCGCUCUAUUUACUUUAGGAAAUAAAUAUUUGCUAGCUCUAAAUAAGCAGAACUAUUUGAGAUCGGAAAAUAACCGAAACAAAUUUUUUAUUGGGAGUCUUUCUUUUCCCGACACUUUUCGGUAACUUGGUGUAAACUAUUUUCAAUCAUAUUUAAUUAUUCUGUAGCCAUAAUCCUUGAUCGACGGACUUAGUUUUUUUUUCUAGAUAGAAGACUGAGCCCUGCAAGAUGACAUCCACCGAUGAUUUGCUAUCCAGCAUUGGAUUGGACAAGUAUCCCUAUGAUUUGAGCACUAUAACCAAACUACCCAUGGCAAAAAUCACAAAUAGGCUUAUACUAGACAUUGUUAAUAAAUUUCCGACAACUACGAAGCAUUGGUCUAUCAUAACUGCUUUACAUGACGACUGUGUGACGUUUGGUGACAAUUACAUUCACAAGACUGGUCAGACUGAAGACAAAGACUAGGAAGCUGGGUAAAAGUAAGGCAAAGUCCAAUAAAUGUAUAAAGUCAUACGACGAUUUUAUUGACACCCCAUUUUUUCCAUCAGCAGAUACUAGUGAAAUUAAUUUAAUAACUGAUUUAAAUAGGUAUUUGCGGCGAUUGUCAAAGUGUCAUAAAACCGCAAUUGCCCAGUUAAAAAAUCGACUUCGGAAGACUAAAACAUCAUACGGCACUAUAUAGUUAUUUAUCUGUGGGACAAAAAAUAAAGUGUUAAAUUAAUAGAUUUAUAGAGGUCUUUAUCUCUCACUCUCCGCAUUACAUGCCAUUAUAUUUUCCUCGUACUUUAUCCGACAAUUUAUUUUUCAUAACAAACAUCAUACUGCACAAUAUUUAUUUAUCUUUGGUACUAACAUUAUAAAGUGUUACAUUAUAGACGCCUCUCUCCCUCUCUCUUUUGCUCCCUCUGUAUAACAUGCCAUUAUAGACAGACCCGGUGUCUGUGGGUGUACAGAAAUGAAAGCACUGUUCUUUUUAAUACAUGUAGUAGGCUAAUCUUUAAACAAUUCAUGUCAAACGUCGAUCUUUUCAUAUCCAGUUAAACGUGUAUUUUAAUUUCCACUGCAAGCAUUAUAAACAGUUAAUAUUAAGACAUUUGAUGGCGUGGGUAUAUUGUUAAAACAACUAAGCGUUUGCGCAUGCGCACACAUGUCAAAUUCAAUCGUCUCAUCGAGUGUAUUCCGUUACUUCACAGCAAGGAUAUAAACAAUGUUUUCCGACUGCGAUAAUUGAAUUUCGUUUCAGGGGAGUACGUUUCGGUUUUACGGCUACCAAGGGACAUAACUCUUAUUUUCACCAAGAGUUAUCUGCCUUGAUUAUGGAGGCCGGGUAGAUUUUGAAGCAUUUAUAACAAUUUCUAAAUGGUUAUAUCCUCAAAAAUCAAAUGUGGUCAGACUUCCAUUGCUGAUGAAUGAAGUUUUUAUGGUAAGUCUUAUCAUAUAAUAUUAAAAUAAUCCCGAAAUAGUGUCUGUUUGUUGUUAAAAAAUUGAGUAUGAACCACUCUAUCUAAUAUCAAAAAGUUUGGUCUUGAAGUAUAACUAACUUUGUUUUAUUAAGUAUUCAAAAUAACAGGUUUUUCCACUUUAAAGGAGAAUACUACUGCAAAAAGCUGUUUUAAUAUGAAAAAUAACCUUAAUAUAGAAUAUUUUUGGCCCUGCGAAAUUUUAAAAGUCAUUCUGAAUAUUUUUACUAAGGAAAAAUAUACCCAAAAAAACGAAUUCACAUUUAUGCAUAUCUGCAGCCUUGUUUUGAUUUUUUUUCCGUGAGUGACAUCAGAGACGACAGAUGUAAAUUUCCCUAUAGAAGGGAAUUGCAACUGAGAACUGCAUCCCGUCGUUUUGACUAACUGGAAGCAUAAACAUGGUCAACUGCGUUGCUUGAAUGAUGAUGUACUAAUAGCACCAACAAUAAAUCAGGAAGGUGUCAUAUUUUUAAAAAUUUCCAAGUGAGAUAACACACAGAAAGGUCUGGACACAGCGAUGUCAACGAGGCAAGAAGGGCAGGGCUGUUCUCCAUCAAAACACGCUUCUCUUAUUCGGAGCAUUUCGACUUAUCUGCUUACGAACGUGAUCCUGCUCGAUUGAAGGAAUUGGGAUAUGAAAACCCAAGAGUGAAACUCCCGCCAGAUGCCGUGCCCACAUUGUUCCUGUGUUAAUUUUGACAGUUCAACUGCGACUCAGGCUUACAGAAAGCGACGUUCAACCGAGGUAAGUAGUCGGUUCUGGCCUAAGUACUAUGUCCAGUGACCAGUGAAAUUUAAAUAAUACUGUCGAUCAAGAUAUAGCAGUUACGUUAUAUUCUACGUUAAAACUGUGCAUAGUUCUAUGGUGAAACCCACACGCUUUCAAAAUCUAGCAAUAGAAAUGACUGAUGUAACCAUAGCCUAAAUACAUGUACUAAUGUAAAUUAAUAUCCCCUUUUCGAAGCGUCUUUCGCAUCAGUAGUAGGUGUGUAGGCCUAUGUCAAUGAUUUUCACAGUCGCUCAUAGAUAGUCCUAGAUGUAGGAAGCCUGUCAGUUUCAGCGGUACUCCGAUAGGCCUAUACAUAACCUUCGUUUUUCAAUUGUUGAACAAAGAAAGGAGGCUAGGACAUAUAAUACCAUAUUUCCCUAUCGCUAGGGUAAACUUAUUGGAAUUAAUAGUUUAUCUCUGAUAUACUUUCGCUGAUGAAGCGUGAACAUCAAUUAAUGAAGCGUAAAGUUAUCGAGAAUCGAAGGACUGUGAUCAGACACGAUACUCUGACCUAAUCUGAACACAGCCUUCACAGCAUUAUGGCUGAUGGCCCCACAGACGCCGGAAGCAUGAAGGGCGUGGGUGUUUUUCUUCAGAAAUUAGGCCUAAAAUAAAGUUUAUGGUGCAUGCUGAACAUUUCUAUUGUAGAUUGCUAAAUACCUAUAUGCUAAGGAGAUGACUUUAAUAAAUAAACUUUUGUUUGUUUUUAUAUCCUAUAUUUGUUAAUAUUAUUAAUAUGUGAAUUCAUGAUGACCAAUGUUAUAUCCAAAAUAAAACUAAAACAAGCAUGUAGAGCAAUGUAGAAAAGGAUGGGUUAUUACACUAAAGACUAUUAACUAGAAGGCACAUAUACCACAGUGUUGCUAUUUCAAAAUUAUUCUUGUCUGACAUAUUUACCGAAAAUAAAGGGGCAUAACUUUAUUUAAGCAAACGGAUUCUGACUACAAUAAAAAAAAAUCAUGUGUCAACAAAAUAUCGUGCGUAAUAAAAAUAGGUGCACCUCUCUAUUUUUCAAAUUUAAUUCCCGUACGGUAUUCAAAUUUGUGUCUGUAAUAUUCCUACAAAAUUACGUUUAUUCGUAAUAGGCCUACUAAAGAAAGCUUGCCGACCCGUACCUGCUUCAUAUUCACACCAAAACAUUCCUCCAAAAUGAUGUGUCUUCGUUUAUUCGACAGAAGCUGACGGCAAUACGUCAGUGCUGAGAAUAGUUUGUGAUGACGAAACAUCGUUUGUCUUCUUUAUAAAACAGUAUUUUAGAAUUCCAUCGGGGAAACAUCAAGGCCAGUAUCAAUGCAACCAUGCUCGCCAUGUUAUUGUUAUUUGCCCAUGUGACAUCUUUUUUCCCGCCAAGAUGAAACAUCCUAGUUAGACAUUUAGAAAGUAACGCAAGCUCGUGGGAAGUGCCAUUUUAGCCGCGAAGUAGUUUGUUAAACUGAGAGAACAGGUGUCCGGAAGAGUAAGCUUACAUUUAGUGAAGUAGCCGUGUAGCGUAGCUGUGUAGCUGGGCCAUUCGACGUACUGUCGGUACUCGGUAGAUAUGCACAUCUUGGCGUUUAUUAAAAUCAAAUUACUCAUCUUUUUUAGCUGAAAAGUAGCCGGAAAUUAGCCUAAUUUGCCGGUUGCCUGCUUCUAAUGACAUCUCUGGUUCCAAACCAUCAUUGUUAUUGCUCUUGCUCACAUUUCUAAUUGGCUCAUACUGAUAGGGAAGAACAUUUGAGGCGAAAUCAAUGUCUGACAAGCUGUAACUUUCUGCCAAUGCCAUAUUGAAAUAUACAUCGACAGCUACACCUCUUGCGUCAUGUCACGUGAUUUAGCUUCAGCUCAUUAAUUGACCUUUCCGUCCGAGACCUGAAGCUCCUCCCACUUUUUAUAAUGACGUCCUAUAUGUAUUGAAUACUGAAGCGUUUCUUGAUUGAAUUUAGAGUUUAGACUACUUUUUUUAUACAUUUCACCGAUGUGGUUGCUUGUAUAGUUGAUUUAUGCUGACAUUCGUAUUUCGUGUAGCAUAUAGCAGAUCAUGACUCAUGCUGGCAUUGCACAAUGGGUUCUUUGGGUCUGUACAGCGCAGUGGACGCUUACGGCUAGCCCCCGGAUCCAUUCACUUUUUUUUAAUUGCCUGUAUGGUUGUGUUUUCCUGAGUAUGAUGUCCUGUCCGUGUAUUUGUUUUUGUGUAAAUUUUGUGUGGUGGAGUCCCCCUGUACUUACUAUUAGACAACAUUGACGCGCCUUAGACAUAAGAAAGCAUGGCAAUGGCAGAAUGACGGUCAAUCUUGUGCCAAUCUUUUGGAACUUACAGCUAGUUUUGGGGAAUAUUGUGGAACGAAGUAAAGACACCAAUGCUCCAGGUACUAUAAUGAAGGAUAUUUUCCUGACGUGAACCUGUUUUAGGCGAUUGGCAGUUCAACCAUCAAUCAUUUAAUGUGUGACUGAACUGUAUGAAGUCCGAGCUGGCAAGAGACAGAACGAGAAACCAUAUUUAUUUCGUUUAAAUUUGACCUUAAAGGAAGUAACAGACUACCAUUGUUGCUGCCAGACUGGGUACGCAAAUUCUACUUGUUUAUUAGUUUAUUAUCACUUAUGUUGAUAAAUGUAAGCAUGGUUGAGUUAUUACAAGUUAGUGAAGCGUAAUGAGGGAGGGGGGGAUACAAGUAUCAUACGUAUAAUAACGUAUGACAUUCUGCGGUCCUGCAACUUUUAAAUUAAUAAGGAUCAUCACAGUUGUUUGGCAUAGUCUGGUCUGGAUUUGAUAUAAAUUUAGAGAAAACCAAGGUUGGCUAAAAAAAAGGGUACUUCUGUAGAUUGCAAGGCCUAUAAGGCCUAUUAGGCCAUCCUAAACACGAAGUUACGUUACUGUCGUGACUUGUACUGCUAUUACUAUAUAUUGAAAUACCAAAACUUUAGACAGCGAAUAUAUACACGUUUUAUAACUGGUGUAGUAUGUUUAUAGUAGACCAGGCCACCCCAUAUUAUACUCUUCAAAAAAAGUAGGGGAUAUUGAAAUGCAAAUACCUAUGCAGGUUGUGAUAUGAUAAAUAGUCAUGGACACUUGACAUGCUUUGAGAGUAUUUUCACAGAUGAAGAACUUAUCGCCCCUACAGAACCACUUCAAGGAAAGGUUGAUGAAAACGGCCGCUUGCUGGUUUAUUUACUGUUUAGUGUAUUUUUGCUUUAGUGUGUUACGUUUAAUUUGAUCUGGGAUUGGGAGACUUGUUCGUCGACAUCAACAUCAACUGACAACACUGCAAGAAUUGGCCGUGGCACUGCAAGAGGAGUGGGUCAGAUUGACCCAAAUCGUGAUUGGACGGUUGAUUAGGAGCAUGCCAUGACGAAUUGCUGAAUGUCUGAGGAUUGGUGGAGCAAUUACUCAUUAUUAAGACAAAAAUCAAAAACGUCCAUUUUCACUUUUGACGGUGUAUCUCUUUGUGAGUGAAAUGGGGCCGUCAGAUAAGUCGCCCAUAUGAAAUGUUUAUGUUCAUGUGUAGGCAAUUGGCCUGUUAUUAACAUACACUGGUUACCUCUAAUAAAAACAGCAGUGCAUUUCCGCAGUUUUGUAUUGUUUCUGAAUAUCCCCUACUUUUUUUGAAGAGUAUAUGUUCCUUUCAACUAGUAAAAUAGAAAAAACAUGCCAUGAUUUUAUCAUGAUGAUUUAAUGGGUAAGAUGUGUGGCUACUGCUCCCUUGCUGUCGGGCUUGUGAUUUGCACUCCCAACACUGGCAAAUGACAGGCUUCAGUUUUCUCCCAUGUACACCACUAAUACAACAAUGAAGAUAAACCAAGACUAAGAGGUGACAAGAUUGAUCCUGUUACAGUAAUCCGCAUCCACAUUAUAAACACAAUGUCAUUUCGACAUUUCAUGAAAGAAUACACUUCACGAGUGUAGGUACUGGAAUGUUGCUGUAAAAGAAUAAAAAAGUAACUAAUAAGCUUAUAAACUGAUUAUAAAAUGUACACGUAAAUAAUGUGGUGUGUCUAUAUAGGCCUAAAAGAAAUAUUAGCACAACCGUAAAGCUGCACUACUUUGUUUCACGGUAAACGAUGAAAAGAUAAAAGGUAUUUGAUUGUAAUGCUAGAUAUAUUUAUCCGUGGAAGUGGUGUUCUAGUGGACAGUUUGCUAUGGUUGUAUUAGACAGACGAGGAGGUAGAUCAACAGUACGAGACAUGACAGUGUCGAUUCUAGCUGAACAUGCUCUUAAUACUCAAAGAACAGUCUACCUUGAUUCUGGAUGUGGCAAUACACAACUUCUAGAACACAGUAUAAUCUAUGUACAUAAUCGCCAUAUAAACAAGACCCGUACACCACCUAGACGAUGUGAUCUCAUCUUUGAUUAUAUUGGAGAGGAUGAAUAUCCAGUCUGUGUGACAAUGAAUUUUGAUAGAAAUCGUCUGCCUAAGAAUGAUGACACAUGUCCAUUCAAAGUGACCAUUUUGGAAGGUCAGUCAACGACAGUAGCUGAAGUAAUAGAUGAGUGGAGAUGUGAUAAAACAUUACCUGGUGAGAUUUGUUCUAAAGGACCGUUAUUGACAGUUGAGUUAGAACGAUUAAGUUACAGUUCAAAACUCGAUCCAGCUGGUUUGUUUAAUUUAAUAGUUCAAGACAGGUCGCCAGCACCCCCAUCACCACUACCUGUCACAGCAAUAGUACUAGGUACUCUAGGAGGACUGGUAUUUUUAGUAUUAUUAUAUUUUUUACUAGCAGCGUAUCUCGAUAAUAAAAAAGCCAUCUAUAUUGGUCCAUGCUGUUUAUGUAGAAAAUACUGUAAAACAUAUACAGAUGAUAGUACAUUUACGAACACAAGUUUUACAUCAGUUCAUACACGAGACUUGAGUGAAGUUCGUUUAUAGAAGAACCCUGGUGACCUCGAUAUUUAUGCUGUUAUAUACUUAAAUCAUCUCAUUUAGCCGCCAAUUACUGCAUAUCUUAAUUGAACUUUUGAUACUCCUAUAAUACAUUUAUUAAACAAUAAUUCAAUUAACAAUAGUCUAUGACGUCACAAUGUCAUAGUUACAUUAUUAUACAGGCAAGGGUAGUUAUUUCUUAGUCUACAGACUACAAAUAUUCAAUCCCACCACGGUUUUUAUUUUAUUUAAUUUUAUUUAAUUAUUCUCUUAUUGUCCCCCGCCUUUCGAAGAAAGUAGGGGACUAUUAAAAUGGGUUUGUCCGUCUGUCUGUCUGUCCAUUCGUCUGUCCGUCACACUUUUUGGGACACAAUAACUCUCUUUCUAAUUGAGCUAGAAUGUUCAAACUUGGUGUAGGUGUUUAUUAGGCCAAUGCCUUGAUGGAGUUCGAAGAUGAGCAUUUUCUACUUAGGGUAAGCAGAGAUAAGCAAUUUGAUUGGUUGAUGCUUUGGGACACGAUAACUUUAGUUCUAAUUAAGUGAGAGUGAUGAAACUUGGUGUAUAGUUUCAUUACAUCAAUACCGUGACUAAGUUCGAUAAUGAACAUGUUCUGCUCAGGGUAAGCAGAGCAAUAAGCAAUUUGAUAGGCCGAGGCUUUGGAACACAAGAACUCUCCUUCUAAUUGAGCUGGAAUGUUCAAACUUGGUGUUGGUGUUUAUUACGUCAAUGCCUUGAUGGAGUUAGCUUAGGCUAAGAAGCGAUAAGCAAUUUGAUUGGUCAAGACUUUGGAACAUAACAACUCUGCUUUUAAUUGAGGUAGAAUGUUUAAACUUGAUGUAGAUGUUCAUUAGGUGAAUGUCUUGACUGAGUUCAAUGAUUAACAUUUUGAGCUGAAGUUAAGCAGAACUAAUCAAUUUCAUUGGUCGAUGCUUUGGGACAAGAUAAUCUUGAUUCUGUCUAGUAGAGAGGGAUGAAACUUAGUGUACAGAUUGAUUGCUCGAUACUUUUGAAAAAAAUAAAUGUGCGAUUAAUUAAUAUGUGUCAUCUAUUUAUUUUGGGAUUUCGGCGGGGGACAUCAGCCUCACUGUUGGCUUGUUUAGAAUUAAGUUUCGGGUGGUACUUUGCCUCCAAGAGGUCGUUGUUUUUGCUAUUAAGUCUAUAUAAAGGAAAAACACUAAAUUUGCUUCAUAAAAUGUUAAAUAGUUUAGAUGACAGUAUUCAGUUUACAAUUGAGCAGAGUCAAUCCACAUUAAAUUUUUUGGAUGUGACAGUUAAGCUACACGCGAACAGCUCUAUUGAAACUGAUGUGUAUUACAAAAAAAACGAUACACAUCAAUAUCUAAAUUUUAAUUCUUGUCACCCACCUCAUACGAAACGAAAUAUCCCAUAUAACUUAGCUAGACGAAUUUGUACAAUUGUGUCCAAUCAAGAUGUCAAAGUUCAGAGACUACAGGAACUAAAUGGUUUCUUAUUAACACAAAAAUAUCCAGGUAAAUUAAUAGACGAUGCUAACCAAAGAGCAUUGAGUCUGGACCAAAGCGUGUUAAGACAACCUAAAGUUCCUGUAAACUCUGAUAAAAGGAACGUUGCUUUAGUUACUACAUUCAAUCCGUCACAGAAAAAUGGGAAAUCUAUCAUUGAAAAUUACAUCCAUAUCCUUAAAAAUAGCCAACCGAUGGAUAAAAUAUUGAGAAAAACAAAUAUAAUCAACAGUCUAAAGGAAAGACCCAAAUAAUGCUUAGGUUGAGAAUGAACCUCCAUCAACAGCACAUACUUCAACCAAAAUACAGGAUGAUCCCGCUCAGUGAGCAUCUUGAAGUAUGUGGUGGGGGCAAAUUUAGUGUUUUUCCUUUAUAUAGACUCAAUAGCAAAAACAAUGACCUCUUGGAUGCAAAAGAAAGUUAUUUUAUUGAGAAGUACCACCCGAAACUUAAUUCUAAACUAGAACUGCGAUGCGGUAAUGACGGGUUUCACUGAUGCCACGUUACCCUUAAACAUAUGUCACUUAUGGUACCAAUGAAACCGAAUCAACCAAAU